UAGGGAAUCUUCCGCAAUGGACGAAAGUCUGACGGAGCAACGCCGCGUGAGUGAAGAAGGAUUUCGGUUCGUAAAACUCUGUUGUUAGGGAAGAAAAAAUGUAUAGUAACUAUAUACAAAAGAGACGGUACCUAACCAGAAAGCCACGGCUAACUACGUGCCAGCAGCCGCGGUAAUACGUAGGUGGCAAGCGUUGUCCGGAAUUAUUGGGCGUAAAGGGUACGUAGGCGGUUUUUUAAGUCAGGUGUCAAAGCGUGGAGCUUAACUCCAUUAAGCACUUGAAACUGAAAGACUUGAGUGAAGGAGAGGAAAGUGGAAUUCCUAGUGUAGCGGUGAAAUGCGUAGAUAUUAGGAGGAAUACCGGUGGCGAAGGCGACUUUCUGGACUUUUACUGACGCUCAGGUACGAAAGCGUGGGGAGCAAACAGG
rnacentral:rRNA from 1 species